UGGGGAAUAUUGCACAAUGGGGGAAACCCUGAUGCAGCGACGCCGCGUGAAGGAAGAGUAUCUCGGUAUGUAAACUUCUAUCAGCAGGGAAGAUAGUGACGGUACCUGACUAAGAAGCCCCGGCUAACUACGUGCC
rnacentral:rRNA from 1 species